rnacentral:rRNA from 1 species
CAGUCGCCACGGGAAUACAGAGGGUGCGAGCGUUAAUCGGAUUUACUGGGCGUAAAGCGUGCGUAGGCGGCUUCUUAAGUCGGAUGUGAAAUCCCUGAGUUUAACUUAGGAAUUGCAUUCGAUACUGGGAAGCUAGAGUAUGGGAGAGGAUGGUAGAAUUCCAGGUGUAGCGGUGAAAUGCGUAGAGAUCUGGAGGAAUACCGAUGGCGAAGGCAGCCAUCUGGCCUAAUACUGACGCUGAGGUACGAAAGCAUGGGGAGCAAACAGGAUUAGAUACCCCGGUAGUCCCUGUCUCUUAUAU